rnacentral:rRNA from 1 species
GAUGAACGCUGGCGGCGUGCUUAACACAUGCAAGUCGAACGGAAAGGCCCAAGCUUGCUUGGCUACUCGAGUGGCGAGCGGGUGAGUAACACGUGGGUGAUCUGCCCUGCACUUCGGGAUAAGCCUGGGAAACUGGGUCUAAUACCGGAUAGGACGAUGGUUUGGAUGCCAUUGUGGAAAGUUUUUUCGGUGUGGGAUGAGCUCGCGGCCUAUCAGCUUGUUGGUGGGGUAAUGGCCUACCAAGGCGUCGACGGGUAGCCGGCCUGAGAGGGUGUACGGCCACAUUGGGACUGCGAUACGGCCCAGACUCCUACGGGGGGCAGCAGUGGGGAAUAUUGCACAAUGGGCGCCAGCCUGAUGCAGCGACGCCGCGUGGGGGAUGACGGCCUUCGGGUUGUAAACUCCUUUCGCUAGGGACGAAGCGUUUUUGUGACGGUACCUGGAGAAGAAGCACCGGCUAACUACGUG